rnacentral:tRNA from 1 species
GAGGGUAUAGCUCAAGUGGUAUAGUGCAUGUUUAGCAUACACAAGGUCCUGGGUUCAACCCCUGGUACCUUCU